rnacentral:tRNA from 2 species
GGGGGCUUAGCUCAGUUGGUAGAGCGCUUGCCUUGCAAGCAAGAGGUGGGGGGUUCGAUUCCCCCAGUCUCCAC